UUUAAUUCAAUUUUGUUUCGAUGCAGUUCCGUACGAGAAUUGCAGGUUGUCAAAAUUAUGCUUAUGUAGAGGGAGCCUAGGUAGAAUAGUGUUAUGAAGUACAAAUGUAAAUUGAACGGUCUGAAGACAGCCAAACAGCAAACUUUAAUGAGCCGAAUUUCUUAUCUCCACUGAAUGGCAAGCCAACAAUAUCACGGAUCGCCCAUGGGGAAGAUGGAAAAAUCGAAGAUUUUCCUUAUGUCGUCAGACUCUACCAUCCGAAAGUUGUGUGCACCGGUGCAAUCAUCAGUGCUUCUUGGGUUUUGACCGCAGCGCACUGCAUUAUAGAUGGGUACAAGCAGGCUUUGAUGAUAACAGUUCUACCACCGUUCAAACACGAAUGCCUAUUAAGUCAAUUCGACAUGAAUUAUACAACGGUUUAGUUUCUGGUUACGAC